rnacentral:lncRNA from 1 species
CGGCCCGCAGCAGGGCCGGGAGAGACAGACCCGCCUGCCUCAGCACGGCCCGCAGCAGGGGCCGUGCGGCUCCUCGACCCGCACAUUCUUGCGGGAGCGUGAUUCCUGCGUGCACGUGAUACUGAUCCAGGGAGCAAGGCCCUCCUCUUGGCCAUCGAAUCAGGAGCAAUGAACUCUGGAGCUGUAUGGUUUGACGCUACUGCUUUAUGGGGACAUAGGUUUAUUUGUGUUUUUUCAUCAUGGCAAAUCCCUGCUCCCUUGAUACCAUGUUCUGGACCUGGGAGACUUCAGUGCAACAACUCUAACACUCCUGAAGAAAGCGGGUUGCUGUCUGCUCGUCCAGGCAUGAGCCGCUCUGCCAGCUGA